UACGGGGGGGGCAAGCGUUGUUCGGAAUUACUGGGCGUAAAGGGCUCGUAGGUGGCCAACUAAGUCAGACGUGAAAUCCCUCAGCUUAACUGGGGAACUGCGUCUGAUACUGGAUGGCUAGAGAUUGGGAGAGGGAUGCGGAAUUCCAGGUGUAGCGGUGAAAUGCGUAGAUAUCUGGAGGAACACCGGUGGCGAAGGCGGCAUCCUGGACCAACACUGACGCUGAGGAGCGAAAGCCAGGGGAGCAAACGGG
rnacentral:rRNA from 1 species